UAUGUGAUCGUCUCUCGCAUAUCAAUAAGCGGAGGAAAAGAAACUAACAAGGAUUCCCCUAGUAACGGCGAGUGAAGCGGGAAGAGCUCAAAUUUGAAAUCUUAAAGGGUUUCCCUUUACGAAUUGUAGUUUAAAGAAGUGUUUUCUGUUGAGGUUUUGGUAAAAGUUCUUUGGAAUAGGACAUCAUAGAGGGUGAGAAUCCCGUAUUUGACCUUUACUUUCAACUUUGUGAUACACUUUCAAAGAGUCGGAUUGUUUGGGAAUGCAGUCCAAAAUGGGUGGUAAAUUUCAUCUAAAGCUAAAUAUUGGCGAGAGACCGAUAGCGAACAAGUACCGUGAGGGAAAGAUGAAAAGAACUUUGAAAAGAGAGUUAAACAGUACGUGAAAUUGUCAAAAGGGAAGCGUUUGACACCAGUGUUGUUUUUCUGAAAAUCAAUUAAAGAACUGUUUAUGCUAAGCUGUUUAGACUUUAUCAGCUAUCUGUUUAGUUUUGAGCUUUUCUUUAAUGCACUUUUCAGUUAACAAGUCAACAUCGAAUUUCUUUUGCUGUAAAAAAGCUUGAGGAAGGUGGCUUGAGAUUCGUCUUAAGUGUUUAUAGCCUCUUGCCUAUGCAGUCGGAGAGAUUGAGGUCUGCAGCGUAGAUCCUUCGGGGCUAAAUGCAUUUGUGCUAAGUUAUAGCAUUUUAUAGACAACUUGUUGACUAUGAUUUGUCUUGUAGCUUACUCGCUUAUGUUAUUUUACCUACGCUUAGGAUGUUGAGCGCAUGUCUCUCUCU
rnacentral:rRNA from 1 species